rnacentral:rRNA from 1 species
UACGGAGGGGGCUAGCGUUGUUCGGAAUUACUGGGCGUAAAGCGCACGUAGGCGGCUUUGUAAGUUAGAGGUGAAAGCCCGGGGCUCAACUCCGGAAUUGCCUUUAAGACUGCAUCGCUCGAAUUGUGGAGAGGUAAGUGGAAUUCCGAGUGUAGAGGUGAAAUUCGUAGAUAUUCGGAAGAACACCAGUGGCGAAGGCGACUUACUGGACACAUAUUGACGCUGAGGUGCGAAAGCGUGAGGAGCAAAAGGG